CCCCUACACCUUUGGACCUUUUCGUAUUUCAAAUUAUCAGUUAUUUAUUUUAAUCAUUUUCAUCCUUAUUUACACUUUCAGUUUCUCACACUAGAGAAACUAUUCGGUAUUUACACGUGUGUCCUGUUGGGUUGCGGUUUUUAACAGUUCUUUGGGUAUGUUGCUUGUAUUUAGAUACUUAGCCAAAACAAAACUUGUACUUUAUUAUUAUCUAGUUUUAUAGAUGAAAUUUUAAAAAGAGGCUUGGAAGAGGUUCUGUAAUUUGCUUAGGGGAAACCAGAAUAAAUGGUAAAAUCAGCUUUCAGUCUCAGGUCCUUCUGACCCUAGAUCUGUUCUGUAUCACUGUGCCACACAGCCCCUUAGUGUCAUCCCAACACAGAAGUUUGAAGGUGAGACUUGAGCUGGGUGAAUUUACCUGGUCAUGGCCUAGCCUUAACUUUUCAGGCUUAGAUAACUUGUCAUCUAAACACGAUAGUGCAUUCAUCUCUCAUAGCCAAACUCUCCUUAACCACGCUCAUGAGACUGACAUGUAACAUCAUAAUGUCCACUUAGUAAUUCACCACAGGAAAUAGUCCUGUCAUUUAGAAUAUCUCAUGACUGGUGCAUUCUUUCCCUCUAGGGAGAUCUGUGAAGCCAACAACCAGAAGGGAACUUAGCGAAGAUGGAUGAAGAAUGAGGGAAGGAGGAGGGACCUAGGCUACAAGAGUAGUUCCCCAAUAAAUACUGACUGAACAUGUGGAUGAUUGUCACAGCAUAAGAAUCAUCUACCCUGUGCACAUCUUCAGGUUCCCUCUAUCUAUUUCUACUAAGGCCUUGCUACAGGGAUCUGAUACUUGAGUCCAUUUGUUAUGGUUUCCCUGGACAGGUUUUAGGAACUCCCCACCUUGGCCCUCUGACUCAUGGCUUUGUGUGUUUUGUUGUUGAACAAACUUCCUCUCACUAAAACACUGAAGCUAAUAUUAAUGCAGUCAGACCAGGUUACGAUAGAAACUAUCUGGCUUGAGAGUCAUUGUAUCUGGCAGAUGAUUCUGCCUAUUACAUGUUGAUUUUGAAGUUUAAUUCUGGGAAGACACUUUCUAAAUCCUAGGAGACACGUCAGUGUAGCUCCCAAGUUCUGAGUACAUCUAUCAGCUAUGGUUAUGUGAUCCCCAGCACGCAGCAAAUUAAAACUAGGAAGAGGUUGCUGAAGGCAAAUAACUCCGACAACAGUAGAAUAGAAGCUAACAGCCUUAAAGUUACACUAGUAGAAAACUGUAAGAGAUAAUGGAACUCCAACAAACAGCCCAUGGGGGCCAGUUAGCAUAGAGAGGGAGUCCCAUACUUUAGCCCACCCGAUUUAGAAGAAUUACAGUUAUUCCUUUCUAUUGAGCCCCUACUCUUUGUUAGUUACUAUGCUAAACUCUUUUUAGAAAUAUUUUUUUAAAAUUCUAAAAAUGAUCUUUUGAUUUAGGUAUCAAUCUUUGCUUUGAAAGAAGUAUGUUAGUCUUAAAAGGAGUAAGGUAUCCAAGCUCUCACACAAAGUAAAGUAGAAGAGUCAAUGGUAGCCAGUAGGAGAUGGAUUUUUCUCAGAUAGGAAGAUGAUCAAGAUAUGGAGGGAAGGAGGAGAGGGAAAGGGGAUGGAAAAAGGAUUUGAGAUGUGUUAUGUACAUGUACCAAUUUCACACAAGGAAGGUAAAUAUUAUGUACUGUAAACACGUAUUAAUAAAAAAAGUGGAAGAGUCAGUGAGAUAAAUUAGAUGUAUUCCAUUCUUAAGCGUGUGCUGUUAAUUGCCAUGCUAUUGCCCUGUCAGUACAAUACUAGAGGUGUGAUUUGGUGACUGUCUAGGAACUCCAAGAGCACAGACAUUUAAAAACCAUUCCCACUUGAAAGAUUAAAAAUGACAGAGACGUAAAGAAAUAUACUUAGAUUUCAUUGUGAAGUCACAAGUGGAACACUUGCUGAUGGUAGGGCAAUGAAGCCUUUUCUUUUUUUCAAUUGGGAAAUGUUUUUGUAAAGAAUUGCUUAAUUAGGAGCACAGAGGUUUCUUUUGCUUUGCAACAAGUAAAAUUUUAUCAAAAUCCUUUCCAUCUUGAGAAAAGAUUUUCAGUGCAUGUUUAUUUACCUUUUGCACAGUGAGCCAUGCCAUGGCAACAUGUUCUAUUAGGGCAAUAUAGGACUAGUACAAGACCAUUGGGGUCCCAGUAAAAGGAGGUAGCUGCCAUUCUUUUUAGCAGCCCCACUGGCUUGAUGCUAGUGCCCCAUUCAUUUUUUAAAAGAAGAUUGUGGGUAGGAUAAUGUGAUCUUGCAAUGAUUUACAGAACAAUGAUGUUAUGCUUUUAAAAAUACUAAUAAUUAUAAUGUUGCAAUCCUAUUUAAUGCCAAAAUGACAACUGGUAGUGUUUGGGAAUAUUUGUAUGAAAACAAUGACAUUUCAUAGUUAAAACUUGGCAUCAGCAAACUUUGAGGAACAAAAAGACUUGGAUUUAAAUGUAAAUCAGCCUUUUAUGAAGUUUACCCUUUGGUUGUACACCAAUCCGUAAAGCUUUCAGUAUUGAUCUAAGAGUUGUCAUCAUGAAGAUUUAUUUUUCAAUCUCUUUCUAACAGAGGCAGAACCUAUUCCCAGGGCCUGACCCAGACCUAGCUGGUGCUGAACUGUCUGGGUGUGUGUGUGCACACAUGUUGUAUGGAAUUCUUCACAGGCACUAAAUAACACAGAAUACCAAGCCCUUGACUUCAUAAGUACACUUUAUUUUAGACCCCAAACUAGUUGACUGCUCCCAAGAAUUAGUACACCUUCAAGGGAAGAUAUUUUAGUCUCAUUGAGGAGAUUCAAGAGAAUGUGUUUAAGAUCCUGAAUAGAAUGCUCCCCAAAAGUGGUCUAAAAUACUUUGAGCAAUGGCAACCCUGCUGCAAUAAGUAAUAACAGCAAAUACAUAAUUACUACACACCAGGCACUCUCCUUAGGGCUUCUUGUGUAUUAAUUCACUAAAUCUUCACAGUAAUCCUUUAAAGAAGGUAUUAUUAUGGUCGUAUUAUGGCUAAGGAACUGAAACAAGGGUAUAUAUACUAGGAAUUUAUUUUAACUUGGUUGUUUACCUUUCUAAAUAAUGUUCUUUGGAGAGUUAUGAAAGGAAUUUGUACCCAUUAUGAAACUUGGAAAAUAUAAAACCGUCAAGAAGAAAGUGAGAUUUUCUGUGCACAUCUAAUGUGUGUCUUUUUAUCCCUUUGUUCUGUGGGAACAAUUGCAUCUUUUUAGGGUUCUGUUGUGAAUAAGACUAAGUCCACGUGCAGGAUUGAGGGGGGCAAGCCUCUGCCACUUCUCUUAGGUCCUGGUUCCAGCUAAAAAGAUAAAUCUGAAUUCGUAUGUCAGAAGCAAAGUGAUAUUUUUCCCUCCAUCCCUAUAAGUACGGUUGGUACAGACUUUGAAGAGCAGUGGAGUCCACAGAUUGUCACCAUACUGCCAGCUGCAUCUUCUCCGAUUGCUGCAGUCCAGUCCUUUGAGCCACUGUCUGCACUAACAGAGUUCUUAGGGGGAUUCAUUUGGAUCUUCUUAUCUUUGGUUCACUAAAUUUGCAUUUUGCUUCUCAGAUGAUGGGGAGAACCUCUAUCAAUACAUCCCAGGAAGUAGAGAACAGAAGUAGACAUAAGAGAGCACAUAUGUAGAAGCAUGGGAUCUGCCUUUGGGUCUACUCACAGUCUGCAGUCUGCAUGGAACUUACAAUUCCAGCCACUGUGUCCAAGGUCCAGGCAUCAAGAAGGAGGGGGCAAAGGGAAAGGAGAACCUUUACAGGUGUGUUGGCUCCUUUUGAAGAGUUUUCCCAUAAUCGCCAUCUGACAACUUCUGAUUAUGUUUCAUUGACCACCUGCUUCUGCGAGGAGUCUGGGAAGUGUAGUUCAUUUAGUCUGACUUAAUGCCACUUCCAUCCCUGGAAGGAAGAAGGACAGAAUACAUAUCAUCCAGGCAACUGGUGAUCUCUGCAUGCAGAAUCUCGUAGCUAAAAGCAAGUCAAAUGAGAAGUUAGGAAGCAAGACAGCUUAUAUGGAGGGCCAGUUGGCUAGGUCCAUACCUAAAGGAGGUAUAAGGGAGGCAGUAUAGGCUGAGUUGUCAGCCUGGCUCUGUGCUUUUUGGCUGUGUGACAAUCUCCUGAAUAGCUCAAUGCCUUAGUCCUCUUUGUCCCUAAAAUGGAAUUAUGUUGAAGCUGACCCCACAGGGGAGUUUGAAGGUCUACAGGAAAUAGGAUGUGCAGUGCCUUAAAACUAGAAGGUGCUUUAUGAAUGUAUCUUCCAUAGGUGCUCAGCAAUAGGAGGUGUCCAGGCAAUGAUCGCUUCAGAACUCUCUCAUAAGGACUUCACUGAUCAACACUCACCAUUAUUUCUGCCACUCAUUUAUUAUUCAGUCUUACAUUGGUCCUCAACACUUUUGUCUAGGAAAACUCCCCAUUGAGGUUGCAAGGAAACACCUUGAGCAAAGACGAAAGAUGGAUUUUUGCAAAACCGCAAGGGGCAUGCCAUCUUCCAAUAACUUGGCACAGCUAGCAUUGCCCUUCAGAGAGACAAGGGACAGGAACAGAGCUAGGUGAGGGACAAUUCUGACAUCCCCAGCAUACAAGGCCAAGGCUGUUGGGGGAAAGCUGUCAGCCAGGACAAGAAGGGCAGAGAGAGGACGGGCCAGAAGGGUGAUGAGUUCUAUUCUAGACAUGAGAACAGAACAUGCGAUCUUGAGACACUAGCAGAGGCAACCAGUGACAGCUGACUCCUUUCAUAUAGUAAACUUUGACCAAAUGAUUGUGUACUAGGCACACUCCAGGUGCUCGAGAUUGAACACAGGAAACACAGCCCCUUGUCUUCAGGGAGCUUAGUAGUGAGCCCAGGGUGACACUGUAAGGAAGAGAGGGGCUAAGUGACAUAUGUGGAGUUCAGAGACAGCGAGGUUGGACGUGUGAAGAAUUCUAUAGAGAAUAGUGACAGGAGGAUGGGUGGAGAGAAAAGUCUGGAGAGAGAUGUCAGGAGAUAAGAGAUCUCAAAGAAGCACCUGUAUUUCAGGACCCUUCCAAAGUUGAGCCUGAGGCAGGCUGUGUGGAAGAGGCCAGAGAGAUACGUGUCCAGCAGUGUUCAGGGGCUGUGUCAUUUAUGUGAAGUACCACCGGCAGCUCAAGGCUGAGGACUGGGAGGCUUCCUCCUGAACUAGAUGGAUGUGGCCCAGCCUUGCAUAAUUACUGGCAGAUACAGUACUUGCUGCUCUAAAAUGUUUGCAUGGCUGCUGGUCCAAGUGUGGAAAAGAAAAGCCAGAUUGUCUCUGUCAGUUGUGGCUGCUAUGACAAAACAUUGCAGACUGGGAGAGAUGGAGCGGUUUCUCUCUGAACAACAGAAACUUACUACUCACAGUUCUGGAAACCCAAGAUCAAGGCAGAUUUGGUGUCUGGCAAGGGCCUCAUCUUGGUUCAGAGACAUCUCGCUGGGUCCUCACAAGGAAAAAAGGGUGAGGCAGUUCUCUGGGGCUCCUUUUACAAGGACAAAAAUCCCAUUCAUGAGGCUCUGCCCUCAUUGUCUAAUUGCCUUCCAAAGGCCCCACUUUCCAAUACUAUCACCUUGGGGUUAGAUUCCAAUGUAUAAAUUGGGGGAGUGGGUUCAGUCUUGAGCAGAAAGGGGAAUCUAACUGAUAGUAGGUUCCUGAUUGAGAGAGGAGAAUGAGAAGACAGGUCACGCCCUCCACCACCACUCCACCAUGCAGAGGGGAUGAGAGGCAGGUUGUGGUCCUUGGUCAGGGCAGGUUAGGGGGGGCAGCUGGCUCCCACCACUGUCUCUUUCCUGAGGCAGUGGUCACCCUCUUUCACUCAACUUUCACUCAGCCAUCAUGUCCCUAGCUCCAUACUAAUCUCUGGGGAUGGAGGUAUAGGAGUACACCACACCCCAAACCCAGGCUGGAGGGAACCAGCCUGAUCAUUCCUCAUGGCCCAGGUCAGAUACCAGUCCACCCUGAAGCCUUACUUGACUCCCCCAAAGUUCACAAGUUUUCCACCCCACUUUAUGCUUCCAAAGCAUAGAUAAGGUGGAGACAGCAGUAGUGCUUUGGGAACACAAAGCGGGGUGAAAAACUUCUGAACUUGGGGAAAUUGGUAAGGAGGCUUCAGGGCAGACAGGCAUUUGACCUGGCCCAUGAGGAAUGAGUAGGAGUUUGCCUAAAGAAUGGGGUAAAGGCAGGUGUGUGAUGACAUGUGUGGUGUGUGUGUGUGUGUGUUUUCCUUCUCCUUCCCCAGUGUUUUUGGGAUGCAAAGAUCAUCACGAUGGCUGAGAAUCCAAGGUCCUAGGGCUUUGUAUCUGGCUUGUGUUAUCCACUCCUUCAUUUUACACCAGAAGAAACAGAGACAGGUCUGGAUGACAUGGCAUGCUGACAUGUGGUAGAGUGAAGAGUAUUGUAGCCACUAGUUGCUUUCUCAGAGUCCUCUAGAAAGGCAGAUCUGGGCUCUGAGGACCUUUGUCUUCUCAUUUCAACUCCAUUGGUUCUGACCUCUGCAUUCUGCUGUGUCUCACGGUCAGGGUGUUGAUGAGGUUUUUAGGAAAUGUAGAUGGGGUCUGAGAGGAGUAAAUACAAAUGUACCAUGUUAUAUGCCACAGAUGCAUUCUGGAAAUUUGCAUGUCAGCCUGCCUUUUUUUUUUUUUUUUUUCAAAUUCAAUAGAAUCCUAAAGAAAUUAGGAGGAGUUGUCCUUUAAUGGAGUUCAAACUUGCCUCCUUUUAACAAGAGAAGGGUCCUUUUGUAAUGCAAAUGAUGUCACUAUUCUGUGAGCUGAGAUUCUGUCUUGGCUUUCUUUAAAUGAGACACACCUCUAGAGAGCAAAAUAUGGGCCUUGCUUGCAGUAUUUUAAAUGCAGGCUAGCGUCCACCCUCUGCCUUUGUUGUAAUGCUUACUUUGGUGGUCUUUGUUUAUAUCAGGUAUUAUUUUGGCCACUGGAGGGCCCUCCAGAUAAAGAAUGGUUGGAGAAUCCCAAAUGUGUUCCCUGAGCCCAGACUUCGGCUCACACCCUGAUUUUUGAGCAUGCAGCAUUUCUUGCAAAUCGGAUUUAACUGGGUAGACUAGCAGUAGCAUUGAUGUUUCUUUUAUUUAGGAAUUUAAGCAUAAAAGGAACCCCUAUUUAAAAGAGCAGCUUUUGGAUUAUAGUCUAUUUGGAGCUGGAAAGGAGGCACUAAUCUUGUAUGUGGAGAGUGAUCUUGCAGAAUUCAGUACAGCUUAGAGAAGCGGGGCUUUGAACAAAGGUUAUUUCUCUGUGUGAAGAGAAUCACACCAAGAUGUAUGGAAUGAAACAGACCAAUUGAAGUUAUUUCUCUAAUGAAGCAAAGAGUCUUGGCAGGAACUGGAAAAACAGUUUAGGAGGUUGGUAUCCACACCUAGGAAAACACAAAAUCACCACCGUUCAUUUUUGUGUCACCUUUUUUUCUGCCCCAUUGUUAGAGACUAGUGCAGGGAUUUUAUUUUGCUGAAUGUAAAUAAAAUUCUGAGCUCAUAGAUGUCAAUGCAGCAUGAAAAGUUUCAUAGCUAGUUCUCAAUGGAUUCAAACAGACUUGUCGCAAAACCAGAUAGAAAUAAAGAGUCAAGAAGAGUCCAGAAAAGAAAUAUGGGUCAGUGACUACGUUUCCUUAGUUUAUAAGACAAAGGAAAUCCACCAGAAUUGCUCCACAAGAGACCAAUACCAAGCCAUACCUAAAAUGAAGUCUCAUGUUCUAAUCUUUUAAGACCUGAAAUAAAAAGUAAGGUUGGUCAUAAUGGUUUGCAUCAGUCCCUUUGAACUAGUGAUUUUUUUUUCAAUAAGAGAGCAAAGGGCUGCCAGUGACAGAUGGGCCAGCAAGCAACUUUGAGGAUUAGUUUGGGCCCUAACAAUUUAAAAACACAGGUCCUGCAGACACAGAUGUGGUCAUCAGGGAUACAGUUAAUGGCCAGACCUGUGAAGAUCUGUGAAGAUCUGUGGUUCUCACAGUGUUUGCCCAGCUGUCCAAUGAAAGGGCAUCAUUUCCUGACUCAUCCCUGAGAUGGUAGACAGGCUCCCAGACCCAUGCAAAAGGUGGUUCUUUUUGUAUUUAUUUGGGGGUGAAAUGAAGAAUGGUAAGGAUUGGGUGCCAAUACAGAGCCUCAGUUUCCUUUUUGAACUUGAAAGUUCAUAGACAAGGGGCUCCAACUGAGGAGACAGAUGGACUUCUGUCUCAAUUAGCAGUAUUUGCUCUUCUGGAAAGCUCACAAGUGGGCAGCAGAGAACUGCGGGUGCAUUUAGCAGCUGAGAGUAAAUUGAGGCAAUGGUUCUUAUUGAGGUCGGCAAGCCAGGGUCUUUACAUCUGUUUGAAGAUCUUUCUCCUUUUGAUUAACCCCUCACCAUUGGUGGAAAGUACUGUUUAUGUGGUUCUACCUCAAAUUUUACACCUGCUUUGGUCCCCACCCAACUCUGUGAGUGACAGGAUGUAGAUGAUGUCCCCCUGCCAGAGAGUCUCCAGAAACUGCAGGGAAGGGCUCAUCUUGAAGGCUGGGGGACUGGAGGUCAGGGCUGAAGCAGGCUGAGAGGUACCCAGGGAAGGGAUGUGCUAUCCGCUGAUGACUUGGAGCAGCAAGCUUUGUCUCACAUUGCCCCCAAACACCGAGAAAAGGUGGAUCCAGGAUCUGUAAUCCUCUCCUUGCUUCUGAACUCAGAGCUGUCAUUGUCUCCAACACCGCCUUGACACUAAACAUACAUUUUCUUCUGACAUUAUUUGUAUUGUUUUUUAAAUUGUAUGACAAAUAGUUGUGUUGAGUGAGUGCCGGGCACCUUGCAGGCAGGCAGUAAAUAUUUGCUGAACGUUGAAAGAAGGCUGCGGCUGGGCUGUCGGUAUGGCUCCUAUUCAGACCCUGCGGCAGCUCUGGGUUCUGGAGGCUCGGGGAUUCCGCGUUAAAGGGCUGGUAGAGGGCUGUCUGACCAGAACGGGCUCUGCGAAUACUAGAACAUUCACAGACCUGCAGAGUAAAGGCCACCAUAGCAAGAAAGGUGGCCGGUUGGGGGACGUCCAGGGGGGCUUUCCUAAAAACGCGGUUUCUUUGUUCUGGUAGAUUUCAGCCCGAAGGAAAAGCAAAAUUUUACUGUCUGCAAACCACCAGCGAGCUCCUCCUGUACCCCUUUACCUCUUUCCUUUCCACCCUGGGAAUUUGCUGCUUCUCUCUCCUCCUCCUCUGCCCCAGUGCAGUCCUCAGAGACAAAGGUCUUUGUUGUGAACACUCCAAGACAAUAUAGAAUUGCACAAUACCCAGGGCACAAUCAGAGCUGUCCUCCAAGGAGAGCUAUUGUCGGACAGAGACCCCCCCCCCCCCCACCUGUUGAUCGCCCACUUCCUGGGGUGAGCAGCAACCUGCAUUGUUGCUCAGGAUGCACGCGUUUCUGCACCAGGCUCGGCAGAUGGCGCUCGUGAGCAGAGCCAUUCCCAUCCCUCCCCCGCCUCUCCCCUCAGCCAGCCAGCGCCUUGCUGCUCUAAAGCAAAAACAGAUGUUUUCAUCAUCUCUGGAUCUGGCAUGUGACUUGCAGUUCAGCAAUAUGCCGACAUAACCCAGAGUUGUGCGUUCCCUUCAUCCCCAGCAAAAUAAAAAUUCCCAGUUAAAUCAGCCUUCCUCCUAAGCGAGCCAGUGACACAUGAUCUGUUUAGUCCAAGGGAUGCAUGUUUAAUCGAGCUCCAACUGCAACUGCCCUGGUAGCCAGCCCAGGCUCUAUAAUUGGGACGUUGUCUUUUUUUCAGGAAAGACGAAGAGCAGCCAGACUAGCUAUCUUUACACCAAGAGCUGGAAGAGGCGCUAGCCUUUUAAAAUAGCCCUGGUCUGGCUGGCGGGCGAACCUGUCUGCUGGGAGCUGCGGGGUCGCGCACGGAACACGAAGGCCGGGGCGGCGCGCCCUGUUCCCCGCGCUCCCGGCAGGUGGCAGCAUCGGCCCGAGCCGGUCUCUGCCUCUGGCCAGCCCAAAGCAGGGCCCUUUUACUUUCGGAGGCCUCAAAAUUAUUAGUUCCAGAUGAGUUCUUGCAAUUGUAAUAUUUGAUUUAACCCAAUCUGCCCGAUUGCGUCAGCGCACGCUCAAAUACAGCCGUCUGAAGUCUAACCAGAAAUGAGAGGCAUGUUCCGGGGGGUGUCAACAUUCUUUACCCUUUGAAAGAAUUAAAACAAAACCAAAACGGAGGUUGAUUUAUCCCCAAACGAAAGAAGGGCGAGCAGGCAUGGGACUAGGGUGCCCUGAGAGCAGGGGAACACUGGAAGUUCAGGGAGGGUGUAACAAUAGAACUUUGUAGGCUGAAGCCUGCAAGAGUGGAGCUGGAUUUAUUUGUUGAACUAGGACGGGACCUCUGGGCUGUUUGAAGGUUUGAGCAAAUAAGCAAAACUGGUGGGCAUUUGGUUUACUAAGAGAAGAGCCUUCAAGUCACGUAGAGCAUGCUGUGUCUGGGCCAGGCCUCUGCUUAACACUUGGCCUGGCUGCUCCAGAAGGAGUAGGGAAGAAGGGACACUCUUCUCUUGUAGCACGGAGCAUUUUGGGGCCCCCUAUCUCCAUGUUAAGAAUGCAGACUGGGUUUCUGGAGAACACAAGCUCAGGCCCCAGAAGACCUCUUGAGAAGAGGAGGCCUCCUGCAAGGGCUCUGGCGAGUGGACCCGCUGGGAUCAUCAAGCGUUUUGUAAACAGCCACGCUGCGGUGUCACCUCCACACCCGGUUCUUGACAUAGGGUUGUGGGGAGCAGUGGGCCCUUGGUGGGGAUCCCUUCCUGUGGACUCGAUGUUACAGAUGUGUUAGCUUAGGCUAAAAGACUCUCAGAGCCCUGGAGCAGAGCAACCCAAUCUGCAAAGGCAGCCCAGAAAUCUUGCUCCAGCCUCCAGACAAGCAAGAUAGGGUGCCUGACUUCCCUUUGCUGAGCAGUAACAGGGCCUUGUCAUGCCUUUAUCCCUCCCCUGUCUGCACCCCACUUUUCAGUCUGUGCUCAAAUUCUUCAAGUACCUCUCUCCAGGGCUGCAAGAAAGACUGCUGCUAGCCAACCCCAGGGAGCCUGGCCGUUUCCCUGCAGGUCUCUGGCUCGACAUGGUACUGAUCAAAAGCUGACACUCGUCGGGCAGAUGCUUCAAGUCCUGGGAGCAGGAGUCUGCCAGGCAGGCAGGCUGAGUGCUAUCUUGUUCUGUCUUCCCUGUUCCAGUGGCUGCCCCAUGGUGUAUGUUAGGCAUGGGAAAGGUGGUGGGGGCCCCCACUAGAAUGUUUGGGAAUCCAGGCUUCCUGAAUCUUCCUUUCAGGCUGAAAAAUGCACGUGCCCUCACAGAUUGCUAGGAAAGUGCUGAUUACCUUGGUAGGAGCUGCCCCUUGAUUCUAGAGGAUGCUGGACUUAGGGCGGGGAUGAGGGGAAUAACCAAGUUCAGUUGAUAUGGGAGCACAAUACUGGCUGCCUGUGCCUUCAGGGAAUAGUUGAGAAACCCCAGUAUUUCCUUUCCAUUUGUACUCUUCCUUUAUUCCCUCCUGAGAAUCAGCUUUUGGACAUCUUACUGUCCAGUGAUUCUCAGUCCUGGCUACCUGAGGAUCAUCUGGAUCCCAACCCACAGCUACUUACACCACCGUAGAAAGGGAGUAGUGGAUUAAAAUCAUAAGUUUUAACACCCCUCCUCCCAGGAUGAUUGUAAUGUAUAGCCAGAAUUAAAGAAAAAAAGUCACUGCAGUGCACUUCCUUCUAAUUUGAAUUCCCUUAUUUUACGGAAGAGGUUUGUAAGAGUUAAACAUCUCAGCCAAGGUCACACAAGUUCAAGUCCAAGCCCGGAAUUUCUGUAUAAGACCUCUGGCUCCUCGGUGAUGAUUGAAGCUUUUCCUCAGUUUUCAAACUGUUAAUGACUGACACGGUCACUUAUUUUCCCUGUUUGAUGAAGUCAUCUAACAACCACUAACCUGUGUUCCUACAGUCCUGUGAGAAAUUUGGAAAGAAAAAAUGCUUUAUAGUUACCAAGGAAUUUUGUUUUGCUGCUAUAAAUAAAUGUUUAUACUCUGACAAGUUAGGAAUGAGAAUCACCCCUCACCCUGAUUUCUAUCAUUUACCACUUAUGUUUCCAAAAGGGAUUCACACCUGUAAAUGGCCAUCGUGGCACUAACUAAUAUGCAAGGAUCUGCUUUUAUGGGUGAGGUUUGUGAGGCCUAGAAAAAUUCAGUGAUACAUUGAGGCUAAAGUCCAUGGCAGAGCCAAAAUAAACAAGGAGGCAUCCUAGCACCUGGCUGGCUUUAUUUGUACUACCUUCUCCUGGAGUGGCACAAGGUGCCCUUUGCUUCUUAGUCUUUCACUCUCUGCAUGAAACAAGCACUGCAGAAAUAACUCUGUCC
rnacentral:lncRNA from 1 species